GCCAGGUAUGGUGGUGCACACCUGUAAUCCAGCAGCUUGGGAGGCUGAGGCAGGAGGAUUAUGAGCUCAAAGCUAGACUCAGCAAUUUAGCAAGUCCCUAAGCAACUCAGCGAGACCCUGUCUCUA
rnacentral:sRNA from 1 species